UCGAGCGAUCGGCCAGGGGGGCAACUCCCUGGUACGGAGCGGCGAACGGGUGAGUAACACGUGAGGAACCUACCCCGGGCUCUGGGAUAACAGUGGGAAACCGCUAUUAAUACCGGAUACUCUCCUCCCAUCGCAUGGCGGGAGGAGGAAAGGCCCGCCGGGCCGGGAUGGUCUCGCGGCCCAUCAGCUUGUUGGCGGGGUAACGGCCCACCAAGGCAGCGACGGGUAGCUGGUGUGAGAGCAUGACCAGCCACACUGGGACUGAGACACGGCCCAGACUCCUACGGGAGGCAGCAGUGGGGAAUCUUGCGCAAUGGGCGAAAGCCUGACGCAGCGACGCCGCGUGAGGGAUGAAGGCCCUCGGGUUGUAAACCUCUUUCAGCGGGAACGAAGCGAAAGUGACGGUACCCGCAGAAGAAGCCCCGGCCAACUACGUG
rnacentral:rRNA from 1 species